rnacentral:lncRNA from 1 species
AGCUGUUACGGUUUUUUUUUUUUAGGGUUCGGUGUUUUACUGUUGAGCUGCUCAGUGCCCAGCUUAGAGGACCAGGAAAAGGAGUCACCGGCCAUAUGCUGGAGGCUUGAGACACGGCACAGCGGCGCAGCUCGCCUCGCUAUGGUUGGUGGUGGCAGUGGAGCUUGCGAUUGCCACGCGGCUGGAGGGUCCUUUAGGUUGUUUGAGGGACAUUCAUCAAGGAAACCGGAGAAACUUAAAAUGCUCUUCCGCUUCUUUGGAACAGUCACAGAGAAAAGUGAACUCCUUUCAUUCUUGCAGUAAUUUUUCUUGCUGAUGGGAACAGUUCAAGUCAAGUGACAUGUGAGGAACAUUUUGUGUUUAACAUUUUGAAAGAACAAAGAGGAACUACAGAAUCAUUGCUUACAUUGACACCGGCCCUGUUGUCCCAAUGGAUGGGUUUUUUUUGGAUGAACGUCAAAAUUGACCCUGCUGUUAAAGCUUGAAACUUGGAUCUGUUGUAUCUGAGUUCUCUCCUCAAAAAAAGACCUUCAGGAAGUAUCAGAUAACUGAAACAUACCAGAUCACAGCACCACAUGCCUCCUGCCCCUCCCUAAUUUCUGUUCUCUUAUACAUUGUUAAAUUUUUUUCCUGCCCCUAUUAGUCAAGCCCAUGGAUUUGAGACUGAGCUCCCAGCUCCUGGGCCGCAGCACCAGGUUAAAGCUUUCUUCCUUGGCAGUACUUGUCACCUCAGUGACUGGCUUUUUCUCCGAUGAGCAGGAGGACCUGGACGAAACCCCUAGUGUUUGGUCAAGGAACUUGAUGCUCCCUAAAUCCAAAUAUUACGGUUAAAAGAAGAGAGAGGAAAUGUGUGCAGAGAAAGUGUAUUUUACAAAUGAAUUAAAGGUGGAUUCUGAGUUACAGGUUUAUAGAUUUACCUAGAGUUUUGAGUUCAGGAAGCCAUCAUUCUUUAGAGGGCAAUGACCAAACAGUACCAGCAGAAAUUGAAGUACCAGCAGAAGGCUAAGAAGGGAUCAUGGCACAAGCUGCAGUUUCCACCCUGCCCAUUGAAGAUGAGGAGUCCAUGGCAGAUGAG